GUAGGGAAUAUUGGUCAAUGGACGAAAGUCUGAACCAGCCAUUCCGCGUGCAGGAAGAAGAUUCUAUGGAUUGUAAACUGCUUUUAGCAGAGAAGAAACGCCUUCAUUGAUGAGGGUUUGACGGUAUCUGCGGAAUAAGCACCGGCUAACUCCGUGCCAGCAGCCGCGGUAAUACGGGGGGUGCAAGCGUUAUCCGGAAUCACUGGGUUUAAAGGGUGCGUAGGCGGGAAAUUAAGUCAGUGGUGAAAGUCUGUUGCUUAACGAUAGAAUUGCCGUUGAUACUGAUUUUCUUGAAUUGGGUUGAGGUUAGCGGAAUGUGACAUGUAGCGGUGAAAUGCAUAGAUAUGUCAUGGAACACCAAUUGCGAAGGCAGCUAGCUGGGCCUUGAUUGACGCUGAGGCACGAAAGCGUGGGUAGCGAACAGGAUUAGAAACCCCAGUAGUCC
rnacentral:rRNA from 1 species